rnacentral:tRNA from 1 species
GCAGUGGUAGUUCAGCGGUAGAAUUCUCGCCUUCCAUGUGGGAGACCUGGGCUCAAUUCCCAGCCUAUGUA